rnacentral:lncRNA from 1 species
AGGUACAUGUUCGAGGAUAAUAGCCAUAUAGAUAGCAAUGGCACCAUACCCACGUUUGGUAAUUUUCUACACACAGUUGGUAGUCGUUGGAGUGGCUUGAUGAGUGUGUGGAGCAAUUUGAAGUGCAGCUAGUAGGAGAGGCUGCAACAUUGAAAAACAAAUGAAUAUAAUUUCCUUAGCACUAAUGCAGAGCAAUUGAAAAGGGUUCAAUAGUAUCCACAGGAGUCAAUUUUGUGCUUUGAUCCAGGCAUGAAUGAGAUUACCAAGCAUGCUGCCCUUCAAAUUCGCUUACCAAUGCCAACUUCGUGGGGUGUAAGUGGCAAAUAAUCUACAUUGAUGCACUACAGCAGUCAAUUCUUGCCAAAACUAUAAACAAAACUUAAUCACAAACUCAACAACAAUGAACUUCCUUAAGAAGCUAGGCCUUUACUCUUCACAACCAUAGACAAAAGAAGUUUGGUAUUGGUGAUUAAUUGUAGCCCAACUAGUGUGAGUGCUAGUAUGAGCACGUAAGGAUUUUACUUGAAACACAAAAAAAAAUAAUUUUUUUGAGGUACAAUUUAUGAACAAAAAUCCAUACUCUAUUUAUAAAUUUCAGAAGACUCCCACAUUUUUUAGAAUGUUGAUUAUUCCUAUUCAUAGAUGCAAAUUGUCUCGAGUAAAAAACCCCUUGGCACUUUCUUGGUAGUCAAAAGCCGUUAUAUAAAAAGAACAUUGAAGAAGUUGCUAAUCAGAUGGGAUUCAAUGGAUUGAGGGUGAAUUGCUACAGGACGAUGAGUGGGAGCUCCUGACUUUUUCCUGUUUUUUUGGCCUUAACUAAUUACCAGCAGAGGUAGAAUAAGCAUAGGGCAUGAAUUCUUUUUUCUUGUUGUCAUCAUCAUCAUCUUACCCUACUUGUUGCAAUUUUUUCUUGUUCGGAAUGAAUUCUUUAACACUCUACCAAACAAAAUAACUUAAUCAAGGCAUUACAGUAUUGAUACCUUUUAGAAACAGAGGGGGGAUAUCACAUAGUAAUAUAAAAAAAAUGCAUUAAUUAAUACGCCUCCACUUUGACAUAUUUAGCAACGAAACAUAAGCACCAACAGCAAUGGAGGUUGACCUGAGCCAUAUUAUAGGAUUUGAGAUGGGAAAUUUAUUAGUAAUACCUGCCGUUGCCGAACUUUUAUACACUCUCACACCUUUACUGCGGGAAAAAAGCCCAAGUCUGAGAUGUGGUGGCCACCGCUUACCAAUCAAUGGUCACCGAUGUGAAGAGUGCUAACUGCUAAGAGGCCAAGAGUUUGAAAUAAAACUCAUCAAAUUCCCUAAAAGUGUUUCUUCUACUAGCUACCUAUCUCAAAUCUUUCCAAAAUCCUCUUCUUUUUCUUUCUUCAAUUCAUAAUACAAGGUAUUUAUAGAAGCAAAACCCUAACUAGAUUGCUUCUUGACAAUGAUACAAAGUUAUUUCUUCAAGACUUU